rnacentral:rRNA from 1 species
GAUGAACGCUGGCGGCGUGCCUAACACAUGCAAGUCGAGCGAACCCUUCGGGGUGAGCGGCGGACGGGUGAGUAACGCGUGGGUAACCUGCCCUGUACACACGGAUAACAUACCGAAAGGUAUGCUAAUACGAGAUAAUAUGUAAUGAUCGCAUGGUCGAUACAUCAAAGCUCCGGCGGUACAGGAUGGACCCGCGUCUGAUUAGCUAGUUGGUGAGGUAAUGGCUCACCAAGGCGACGAUCAGUAGCCGACCUGAGAGGGUGAUCGGCCACAUUGGAACUGAGACACGGUCCAA